CCAACCCGAGUCUGCUCGCUUGGCCCAUCCUACCGCUCGGCCACACGAGACAAAGCCGCGCAGGAGGCCUUAGGCGCUGUUCCUUUCCCGGCGAUCGCCGGCGACGGCCCGUCCCGACCUGACCCGGGCAGCGCGGCUGUGUGUCCUUGGCGUGGAAGAUCGUAGGGACAGAGCGGCCGAGCGGGGCUGGUUCGGAGCUGGAUUCGCGCGCUCGUCUGAACUCAGCGCCUGCAUUCGCGCACCAUCCACUCGUCGGCUCCAACAACUGCUUCCGAUCGAGGCGACCCACGCCCGUGGAAUCCUCUCCAGCCAAAAUGGCUCCAGGCUCGGAUGCUCCACAGUAACCACGCUACUCGCGACGGCGGCCUGCUCAGCUCAGCUCAGUUGACUGCAUCUGCAUUCGGGGUCGGGCGCCCUGCAGGUGUUCGGUGAAUUGCCACGCUAGGGAGGUUGCGCCGUUAAGAGUUGGGUCACGGAUCCAGGACUGCCGACUGGCGAAUGGUUUCGUGGUGAUUAUAUAACGACGACUUGACUCGGCGCGUGGGCGUCGUCGGGACGAAGGUGCCUAGCCUGAGCCUCUGCGGACCGACGUACGUCAGCGGUCAUCGGAGAACGAAAGUGAAGCAAGGAACCAAGUCUUCCCCGGUCAAUAAACUAAGCUAUUCUAGCCUUGCUUUUUAAGAUGAAGCCGAUCGGAAACAUCGUGAGGAGCACGCGUCUUCGUGUAGAUCAUCGUUGGACUUGGAGACAUGCUGUUCGGCCCGGUCAUGAUUCUCUUCUGUUGUCUUUACUACUACGACAGCCUUCCUUCCGUCCUAGGUGUUACUUGGAUAUUUUCUCCGUACGUGUGUUCUUUGGAUCCUCCAUCUCCUUUCUCCUUAUUAUAGGUAUAUAUAUAUAUAUAUACAAACCAGGUCUUUUUUUCUUAAUCAUUGUGAUGCAGAAUGGCGAAUGCCAUGGCAGCGACAGGUGAAAAA